AGAGUACUGGAACUUCAUCAUCAGUCUUUCCAAUGAAUAUUCAGGGUUGAUUUCCUUUAGGACUGACUGGUUUGAUCUCCUGGCAGUUCAAGGGACUCUCAAGAUCCAUCUUCAGCACAAUUGGAAAGCAUUAAAUCUUAGGUGCUCAGUCUUCUUUAUGGUCCAACUCACAUCCGUACAUGACUACUGGAAAAACGAUUGCUUUGACUAGAUGGACCUUUGUCAGCAAA